rnacentral:rRNA from 1 species
UACGUAGGGUGCGAGCGUUGUCCGGAAUUAUUGGGCGUAAAGAGCUUGUAGGCGGUCUGUCGCGUCUGCUGUGAAAAUCCGGGGCUCAACCCCGGACUUGCAGUGGGGUACGGGCAGACUAGAGUGUGGUAGGGGAGACUGGAAUUCCUGGUGUAGCGGUGAAAUGCGCAGAUAUCAGGAGGAACACCGAUGGCGAAGGCAGGUCUCUGGGCCACUACUGACGCUG